rnacentral:rRNA from 1 species
AUACGGAGGGUGCAAGCGUUACUCGGAAUCACUGGGCGUAAAGCGCGCGCAGGCGGGCUGAUAAGUUGGAUGUGAAAGCCUACGGCUCAACCGUAGAACUGCAUCCAAAACUGUCAGUCUAGAGUGUGGGAGAGGAGGAUGGAAUUAGUUGUGUAGGGGUAAAAUCCGUAGAGAUAACUAGGAAUACCAAAAGCGAAGGCAAUCUUCUGGAACACUACUGACGCUGAGGCGCGAAGGCGUGGGGAGCAAACAGGAUUAGAAACCCUAGUAGUCC